rnacentral:rRNA from 1 species
AGAGUUUGAUCCUGGCUCAGGACGAACGCUGGCGGCGUGCUUAAUACGUGCAAGUCGAGCGAGGUUACUGCGACAGAUCCCUUCGGGGUGAAGUUGCUUUAACCUAGCGGCGGACGGGUGAGUAACGCGUGGGUAACCUACCCUAAAGUUCGGGAUAACAGCGGGAAACCGCUGCUAAUACCGGAUGCCUUUACCGUGUGGCAUCACAAGGUAAAGAAAGGUGACGCUUUAGGAUGGGCCCGCGUCCCAUUAGCUAGUUGGUGAGGUAACAGCUCACCAAGGCGACGAUGGGUAGCCGGCCUGAGAGGGUGGACGGCCACACUGGGACUGAGACACGGCCCAGACUCCUACGGGAGGCAGCAGUAGGGAAUAUUGCGCAAUGGACGGAAGUCUGACGCAGCGACGCCGCGUGAGCGAUGAAGGCCUUCGGGUUGUAAAGCUCUGUCCUUGGGGAAGAAGGUCUUCGGACUUGACGGUACCCAAGAAGAAAGCCCCGGCUAACUACGUGCCAGCAGCCGCGGUAAUACGUAGGGGGCGAGCGUUGUCCGGAAUUACUGGGCGUAAAGGGUGCGUAGGCGGCCCUUUAAGUCGGAUGUGAAAGCCCGCAGCUUAACUGCGGAAUUGCAUUUGAAACUGGAGGGCUCGAGUGUCGGAGAGGGUAGUGGAAUUCCCAGUGUAGCGGUGAAAUGCGUAGAUAUUGGGAGGAACACCAGUGGCGAAGGCGACUGCCUGGACGAUAACUGACGCUGAGGCACGAAAGCUGGGGGAGCAAACAGGAUUAGAUACCCUGGUAGUCCUAGCCGUAAACGAUGGGUACUANGUGUAGGUGGUUUCGAUACCAUCUGUGCCGUANUUAACGCAUUAAGUACCCCGCCNGGGGAGUACGUGCGCAAGCAUGAAACUCANUGAAUUGACGG